GCUAAAAACCUAGCCCUAAUUUGUUAAAUAAAACAUUACACUCUUUGAUUCUAUAAUUAAAACAUUCUAACAACCUAGUAGAGGCGAUCGAAAAAUUUUUUAGAGCUAUACUGAUAGUACCGCAAGGGAAAGAUGAAAUAAAAAUGAAACAAAUUUCAAGCACAAAAUAGUAAAGAUUACUCCCUGUACCUUUUGCAUCAUGGUUUAACUAGCCUAAUCAAGCAAAAAGAUUUAAAGUUUGACCCCCCGAAACUAAGCGAGCUACUUCAGGGCAGCUAAAUGAGCAAACCCGUCUCUGUUGCAAAAGAGUGGGAAGACCCUCAAGUAGGGGUGAUAGACCUACCGAGCUUAGUGAUAGCUGGUUACUCAAGAAAAGAAUUUAAGUCCAACCUAAAAUUAAACCUUUUUUAAUAAAUACACCUUUGAUUUUAGAGUAAUUCAAACAAGGUACAGCCUGUUUGAAUCAGGGUACAACCUCCACCAACGGGUAAUCAAAACAUCCUCACACAAUCAAGUUGGCCUAAAAGCAGCCACCUUUAAAAUAGCGUCACAGCCUAAUUAUGUAAACGUUCAAUCUCUCCACAUUAUGAAAACCCUUCAACACCAUUGAGUAAUUCUAUAUCUUUAUAGAAGAUUUUAUGUUAAAACUAGUAACAAGAAGAUGAACUUCUCCUCAAUGUAAGUGUUAAUCAGACAGGACUACCCACUGAUAAUUAUUACCACUGAGUUCAAAGUACCAACAAAACAAGAAAACCUUACUUUAUUUUGUAUAGACCUAACACAAGAACAUUACAAGAAAGAUUUAAAGAAAAAGAAGGAACUCGGCAAACCUUAACCUCGCCUGUUUACCAAAAACAUCGCCUCUUGAGCCCUAUAAGAGGUCCAGCCUGCCCAGUGACCCUGUUCAACGGCCGCGGUAUCCUAACCGUGCGAAGGUAGCGUAAUCACUUGUUCUUUAAAUAAGGACUAGUAUGAAUGGCACCACGAAGGUUAUACUGUCUCCUUUUUCCAAUCAGUGAAACUAAUCUCCCCGUGAAGAAGCGGGAAUAUAAAUAUAAGACGAGAAGACCCUAUGGAGCUUUAAACUUUCAUCAAUUGCUAUUAAUUACUUUAUAUUUCUGAAUAAUCAAAUUUAAACUAGCAUCCUUGACUUAAAGUUUUCGGUUGGGGUGACCACGGAGCAAAAUUCAACCUCCGCACUGAAAGGACCUAAAACCUUAGCUAAGAGCUACGACUCUACGCAUCAACAACUUGACACCAAUUGACCCAAAUAUAUUGACCAAUGAACCAAGUUACCCUAGGGAUAACAGCGCAAUCCACUCCAAGAGCCCCUAUCGACGAAUGGGUUUACGACCUCGAUGUUGGAUCAGGGUACCCCAGUGGUGUAGCCGCUACUAAAGGUUCGUUUGUUCAACGAUUAAAACCCU
rnacentral:rRNA from 1 species